GGGGUGUGCUCAAAACAAGGGGCCUAAAGAAUGGCUCCUUGUUCAUAACACCCAACAGGAAUCUGGGAUCAUUAUGAUGAGGGGCACAAAACGUGUGGCCUCCCUACAAACAAAUUUCCUACAUGU